UUAAUGACAAAUUUCCCAUUUAUUAACUUUCUUUUUCUUCUCUUUGGGAAGAUAUUUAGCUUACGCUCUUGAUUUGGAUUGAUCCGCAUCGUUCUCUUUGGAAUGGAACCGAGCUGGAUAACCCAAGAAAACGCGCUAGGUGUUUGGCCGAGCUCCUCCUCCAAUUUGUGACGUGUGUCUUGCUGUUGUUCCACAAAUGGAGGGACCUGCAGUUGUAACUCUGAACGGCAAAUAUUUAUUAUGAGGGGCUUUUUUCACGCAGAAAUAUCAUACAUUCGGAAGUUUGCCAUUGCCUGCCGAGAAGCGAAAAAACUGUUUCUAUACCUUUGGUGUUUCAUGCGCGGAGAUUCGAACCUACGUACUUCCAAAUGGUAGUUGCUCACCAAGCCAUUCAGCUACGGCAGCCACCAAAAUAUUGCUACCACUCAAAAAUAUUAGAUAUUAAUUUUUCGUAAAGCGAAAAGUGUCUAAGUAAUUUAUCUUAUGCUAAUUUGUGUAUUGUCUUUAUUUUAUACAGUUGUUUACUAAUAUCUGUCCUAAUGUACGUACUAGUAAAACAAAUUAAAUAAAGUGAUGAUUAAUAAAAAUUGA